UGUACAUACCUCUGGUGUACCAGUUGUCGUGCCAACGGCAUAGCUGGGUAGCUAUUUGUGGACGGGAUAUGUGCUGAAAGAAUCUAAGCAUGAAGCCCCCCUCAAGAUGAGAUUUCCCAACUUCGGUUAUAAGAUCCCUCAAAGAUGAUGAGGUUAAUAGUUUCGAUGUUGAAGCAUGGUGACUUGUGGAGCUGUCGAAUACUAAUCGAUCGAAUACUUAAUCAA
rnacentral:rRNA from 1 species